UAANNCAUNNAAAGUCGAGGGGCNNGCNCGGGUUUUUUNUNCNGNGNGGCGAGCGGGNGGACNGNUUNANUAAUGCCUNGNNAUNUGCCUGNUAGGGGGGGGAUAACGCUCGGAANCGGACGCUAAUACCGCAUACGUCNUACGGGAGAAAGCNNGGGGACCUUCGGGCCUUGCGCUAUCAGAUGAGCCUAGGUCGGAUUAGCUAGUUGGUGAGGUAAUGGCUCACCAAGGCGACGAUCCGUAACUGGUCUGAGAGGAUGAUCAGUCACACUGGAACUGAGACACGGUCCAGACUCCUACGGGAGGCAGCAGUGGGGAAUAUUGGACAAUGGGCGAAAGCCUGAUCCAGCCAUGCCGCGUGUGUGAAGAAGGUCUUCGGAUUGUAAAGCACUUUAAGUUGGGAGGAAGGGCAGUUACCUAAUACGUAAUUGUUUUGACGUUACCGACAGAAUAAGCACCGGCUAACUCUGUGCCAGCAGCCGCGGUAAUACAGAGGGUGCAAGCGUUAAUCGGAAUUACUGGGCGUAAAGCGCGCGUAGGUGGUUCGUUAAGUUGGAUGUGAAAUCCCCGGGCUCAACCUGGGAACUGCAUUCAAAACUGUCGAGCUAGAGUAUGGUAGAGGGUGGUGGAAUUUCCUGUGUAGCGGUGAAAUGCGUAGAUAUAGGAAGGAACACCAGUGGCGAAGGCGACCACCUGGACUNA
rnacentral:rRNA from 1 species